AUUGAACGCUGGCGGCAGGCCUAACACAUGCAAGUCGAGCGAGCGGCGGACGGGUGAGUAAUGGCUGGGAAACUGACUGAUGGAGGGGGAUAACUAAUGGAAACGGUAGCUAAUAACGCAUACCAUCAGAUGUGCCCAGAUGGGAUUAGCAAGUAGGUGGGGUAACGGGUCACCUAGGCGACGAUAACUAGCUGGUCUGAGAGGAUGACCAGCCACACUGGAACUGAGACACGGUCCAGACUCCUACGGGAGGCAGCAGUGGGGAAUAUUGCACAAUGGGCGCAAGCCUGAUGCAGCCAUGCCGCGUGUAUGAAGAAGGCCUUCGGGUUGUAAAGUACUUUCAGCGGGGAGGCGUUACCCGCAGAAGAAGCACCGGCUAACUCCGUGCCAGCCGCCGCGGUAAUA
rnacentral:rRNA from 1 species